GGAGGCGUGGCAGAGUGGACGAAUGCACCGGUCUUGAAAACCGGAGUACCCCAUAAAGGUACCGGAGGUUCGAAUCCUCCCGCCUCCG
rnacentral:tRNA from 1 species